CAGUAGCCGCGGGAAAACGAAGGGUGCAAGCGUUACUCGGAAUUACUGGGCGUAAAGCGUGCGUAGGUGGUGGUUUAAGUCCGUUGUGAAAGCCCUGGGCUCAACCUGGGAAUUGCAGUGGAUACUGGAUCACUAGAGUGUGGUAGAGGAUAGUGGAAUUUCCGGUGUAGCAGUGAAAUGCGUAGAGAUCGGAAGGAACAUCUGUGGCGAAGGCGACUAUCUGGGCCAACACUGACACUGAGGCACGAAAGCGUGGGGAGCAAACAGGAUUAGAUACCCCAGUAGUCCCUGUCUCUUAUAC
rnacentral:rRNA from 1 species